rnacentral:rRNA from 1 species
CCCUUAGAUGUCCUGGGCCGCACGCGCGUUACACUGAUGCAUUCAACGAGCUUAUAACCUUGGCCGAGAGGCCUGGGCAAUCUUGUUAACGUGCAUCGUGAUAGGGAUAGAUUAUUGAAAUUAUUAAUCUUGAACGAGGAAUUCCUAGUAGACGCAGAUCAUCAAUCUGCAUUGAUUACGUCCCUGCCCUUUGUACACACCGCCCGUCGCACCUACCGAUUGGAUGGUCCGGUGAAGCCUCGGGAUUGUGGUUCUUGCCGCUUUAUUGUGGCGUGACCGCGAGAACUUGUCUAAACCUUAUCAUCUAGAGGAAGGUGAAGUCGUAACA